rnacentral:rRNA from 11 species
AUUAGGGGCCUAAAUACCCUGAAGGGAUCCGAUCCCAUCAGAUCUUAGAAGCUAAGAAUGGUCAGUCUUGGUUAAUACUUGGAUGGGAUACCACCAACAAAUAACAGCUUUUGUAAGC